rnacentral:rRNA from 1 species
AUUGAACGCUGGCGGCAGGCCUAACACAUGCAAGUCGAACGAGCGGCGGACGGGUGAGUAAUGUCUGGGGAACUGCCCGAUAGAGGGGGAUAACUACUGGAAACGGUAGCUAAUACCGCAUACUAUCGGAUGAGCCCACAUGGGAUUAGCUAGUAGGUGGGGUAAAGGCGAACCUAGGCGAAGAUUUCUAGCUGGUCUGAGAGGAUGAACAGCCACACUGGGACUGAGACACGGCCCAGACUCCUACGGGAGGCAGCAGUGGGGAAUAUUGCACAAUGGGCGCAAGCCUGAUGCAGCCAUGCCGCGUGAGUGAAGAAGGUCUUCGGAUUGUAAAACUCUGUUGUUAGAGAAGCGGUAUCUAACCAGAAAGCCACGGCUAACUCCGUGCCAGCAGCCGCGGUAAUUC